rnacentral:rRNA from 1 species
AUAUCAAUAAGCGGAGGAAAAGAAACUAACAAGGAUUCCCCUAGUAACUGCGAGUGAAGCGGGAUGAGCUCAAAUUUGAAAUCUGGCGGCUCUGCCGUCCGAGUUGUAAUCUGGAGAAGCGUUUUCCGUGCCGGACCGUGUACAAGUCCCUUGGAACAGGGCGUCAUAGAGGGUGAGAAUCCCGUCUUUGACACGGACUCCCGGUGCUCUGCGAUGCGCUCUCGAAGAGUCGAGUUGUUUGGGAAUGCAGCUCAAAAUGGGUGGUAAAUUCCAUCUAAAGCUAAAUAUUGGCGAGAGACCGAUAGCGAACAAGUACCGUGAGGGAAAGAUGAAAAGCACUUUGGAAAGAGAGUAAAACAGUACGUGAAAUUGUUGAAAGGGAAACGCUUGAAGUCAGUCGCGUCUUCUGGAACUCAGCCUCGCUUCUGCCUGGCGCACUUUCCAGUUUGACGGGUCAGCAUCGGCUUCGGUGGGCGGACAAAGGCGYGGGGAAGGUGGCAGCUCCGGCUGUGUUAUAGCCCCGCGUCGGACGCGCCCGCCGGGACCGAGGAAUCCGGCGCUCGCCGCCUGGGAUGCUGGCGUAAUGGCUUUAAACGACCCGUCUUGAAACACGGACCA